AGCGCCUGCCACGAAGCUCUGGAUUGCAUGUUGCUGGGAAUGAUUCUGUACACUCAUUUUCCGGCAUCUUAUGACCGAUGGAUGGGUUCCAUGUGUUGAGAAUACGACACUGACUCGGCACUGAUUGCGCCGGUCUGUUCGCAGCCCACCAAUCAACAACGCGCUGAUUGCCUUCAAAACGGGCCAGCUUGGUACGCGCAACGGGUGUAGUGCGGCACUCAUCAUAGCGUUCCUUCAGCGCUGCUCUCUCUCUCUGCGCUCGUUUUACUGGUCGAUUGAUCGUUGACAUGUUUUGGGAGUUAGUGUGCUCUUUCAUGGUUGUUGUGGACUUGCUUGUCGAAUCCCCGUCCUAAUUGCAGGUUGCUAGUCUGCCGACUGUUGCCGCAGCGGCGGCGUGUGGAGGAAUUGUGAGUGAUGGCAUGGAAGAUAAGCAUAACCAGAGCAGGCUUUGGUCUUGUUCGUGUUAUUCCUUUACCGGACUUUUGUGGUAGGUGUUGACAUUCUCAUCUAUAAAAUUAAAGAUUAUGCAA